CCUACGGGAGACUGCAGUGGGGAAUAUUGCGCAAUGGGCGAAAGCCUGACGCAGCGACGCCGCGUGCGGGAUGAAGGUCUUCGGAUCGUAAACCGCUGUCAGCAGGGAAGAACGGUCACUGUGCUAAUCAGUAGUGAAUUGACGGUACCUGCAAAGGAAGCACCGGCUAACUCCGGGCCAGCAGCCGCGGUCAUAAGGAGGGAGCGAGCGUUAAUCGGAAUUACUGGGCGUUAAGCGCUCGUAGGCGGUAUGUCAAGUCAAGGGUGAAAUCCCCGCGCUCAACGUGGGCACUGCCUUUGAAACUGGCAAACUGGAGUGUGUGAGAGGAUAGUGGAAGUCCAGGUGUAGGAGUGAAAUCCGUAGAUAUCUGGAGGAACAUCAGUGGCGAAGGCGACUAUCUGGCACAUAACUGACGCUGAGGAGCGAAAGCGUGGGUAGCAAACAGGAUUAGAUACCCCGGUAGUC
rnacentral:rRNA from 1 species